UGGAGAUUGCAGCGCGGCUGAAGGGAUUUUGGAAGAACAAAGAGGAACUACAGAAUCAUUGCUUACAUUGACACAAUUGAAUGGGAAGCCAUCAUUCUUUAAAGGGCAAUGACCAAGCAGUACCAGCAGAAAUUGAAGUACCAGCAGAAGGCUAAGAAGGGAUCAUGGCACAAGUUGCAGUUUCCACCCUGCCCAUUGAAGAUGAGGAGUCCAUGGAAGAUGAGGAGUCUGUUGAAGACGAGGAGUCCGUUGAAGAUGAGUCCGCGGAGAGCAGGAUGCUGGUGACAUUGCUCAUAUCAGCUCUUGAGUCCACGGGAGCUUACAGCUUCAUUGCACCAUGUGUGGCAUUUGGGUCCUGUUUGGCAGCAAUGACUGCCUUUCUGUUUAGUGUCUGUGUGCUAUGAAGAUUGCAAACGGGGUCCAGAUGCAUUCUGUUUUGAGAAUGUCA
rnacentral:lncRNA from 1 species